rnacentral:rRNA from 1 species
AAUGAACGUUGGCGGCAUGGAUUAGGCAUGCAAGUCGAGCGAGAAGGGUUUUGAAGCUUGCUUUAGAACCCGGAAAGCGGCGCAAGGGAGAGUAACGAGUAGUUAUCUACCCCAAGGCCCGGAAUAGCUGCGGGAAACUGCAGGUAAUGCCGGAUAAUAUCCCCGGAUCAAAGGUGUGAUUCCGCCUUGGGAGGAGACUGCUUUGUACUAGCUAGUUGGUAGGGUAAUGGCCUACCAAGGCUACGAUGCAUAGCGGGCGUGAGAGCGUGGCCCGUCUCACUGGGACUGAAACACUGCCCAGACACCUGCGGGUGGCUGCAGUCGAGAAUCUUCGGCAAUGGGCGAAAGCCUGACCGAGCGAUGCCGCGUGCGGGAUGAAGGCCCUCGGGUUGUAAACCGCUGUCGUAGAGGAGAAAGGUCUGAUGAAGAAUCAGAUUUGAUCUAUUCUAGGAGGAAGUCGGGGCUAAGUUCGUGCCAG